ACGGCCAUACCACGUUGAAAUCACCGGUUCUCAUCCGUUCACCGAAGUUAAGCAAAGUCAAUCAGUACUUGGAAAAAAAUUCAUCUAAAUACACCAGGUGUUGUAAGCA